rnacentral:lncRNA from 1 species
GGUCGUCAAAAACUAUCAAUUUUGCAAUCUUUUGAUCACUAUGUAAAUAAAUUUUAAAAUUUAUAAAAUUUAGUUUCUAAAUAAUUUAAAUACACUAGAUCAACUUCAACGGUUUCGAUCAUCUAUUCGGGAUCUCUAUUAUCAAAAGCAAUUUGAUAGGACGAAGGUCCCUAUCCUCCUAAAAGGACAGCGGCUGAAUUCUAUAUAUAUAUAUAUAUAUAUNAUUCGGGAUCUCUAUUAUCAAAAGCAAUUUGAUAGGACGAAGGUCCCUAUCCUCCUAAAAGGACAGCGGCUGAAUUCUAUAUAUAUAUAUAUAUAUAUAUAUAUAUAUAAGUUGUUAUGCUAUCGGAAGUAUAAAGGAUCUAGUGCUUUCGACUUUUUGACUCUUAGAUCAGCCCUUUAACUAUUUCUAUUCUUUGGAUUAAUACUAUUAUCCUGUGGGGACCACUCAACCCUAGGUAGGGUUGUCAAUGGGUAUGGAUACCCAAAAUUUUAUCCGAACCCGAAUCCGAAUAAAAUAGAUAUAUCCGAUGCUAAAUGGAUAUGGAUUCGGAUAUGGAUGUCAAAAAUAGAAACCCGACGGAUAUGGAUUUAGAUAUGGAUUUUGACGGUACCCGACCCGAA